rnacentral:rRNA from 1 species
UAAUGUAUGGGGAUCUGCCCGAUAGAGGGGGAUAACUACUGGAAACGGUGGCUAAUACCGCAUAAUGUCUACGGACCAAAGCAGGGGCUCUUCGGACCUUGCACUAUCGGAUGAACCCAUAUGGGAUUAGCUAGUAGGUGGGGUAAAGGCUCACCUAGGCGACGAUCUCUAGCUGGUCUGAGAGAAUGAUCAGCCACACUGGGACUGAGACACGGCCCAG